AGAUUGAACGCUGGCGGAAUGCUUUACACAUGCAAGUCGAACGGCAGCACGGGGGCAACCCUGGUGGCGAGUGGCGAACGGGUGAGUAAUGUAUCGGAACGUGCCCAGUCGUGGGGGAUAACUAUCCGAAGGGAUAGCUAAUACCGCAUACGACCUGAGGGUGAAAGCGGGGGACCUGCAAAGGCCUCGCGCGAUUGGAGCGGCCGAUAUCGGAUUAGCUAGUUGGUGGGGUAAAGGCUCACCAAGGCGACGAUCCGUAGCGGGUCUGAGAGGACGACCCGCCACACUGGAACUGAGACACGGUCCAGACUCCUACGGGAGGCGGCAGUGGGGAAUUUGGACAAUGGGCGCAAGCCUGAUCCAGCCAUUCCGCGUGAGUGAAGAGGCCUUCGGUUGUAAAGCUCUUUCGAGCGGAACGAAACGGUCGAGUACCUAAGUACGGUCGGCUAAUGACGGUACC
rnacentral:rRNA from 1 species